rnacentral:rRNA from 1 species
GGUAUCAAACAGGAUUAGAUACCAUGGUAGUCCACACAGUAAACGAUGAAUACUCGCUGUUUGCGAUAUACAGUAAGCGGCCAAGCGAAAGCAUUAAGUAUUCCACCUGGGGAGUACGCCGGCAACGGUGAAACUCAAAGGAAUUGACGGGGGCCCGCACAAGCGGAGGAACAUGUGGUUUAAUUCGAUGAUACGCGAGGAACCUUACCCGGGCUUAAAUUGCAUUUGAAUAUAUUGGAAACAGUAUAGCCGUAAGGCAAAUGUGAAGGUGUUGCAUGGUUGUCGUCAGCUCGUGCCGUGAGGUGUCGGCUUAAGUGCCAUAACGAGCGCAACCCUUAUCUUCAGUUACUAACAGGUCAUGCUGAGGACUCUGGAGAGACUGCCGUCGUAAGAUGUGAGGAAGGUGGGGAUGACGUCAAAUCAGCACGGCCCUUACGUCCGGGGCUACACACGUGUUACAAUGGGGGGUACAGAAGGCCGCUACCUGGUGACAGGAUGCUAAUCCCAAAAGCCUCUCUCAGUUCGGAUCGAAGUGUGCAACCCGACUUCGUGAAGCUGGAUUCGCUAGUAAUCGCGCAUCAGCCAUGGCGCGGUGAAUACGUUCCCGGGCCUUGUACACACCGCCCGUCAAGCCAUGAAAGCCGGGGGUACCUGAAGUACGUAACCGCAAGGAGCGUCCUAGGG